AUUGAACGCUGGCGGCAGGCUUAACACAUGCAAGUCGAACGAGUGGCGGAAGGGUGAGUAAUGCUUGGGAAUCUAGCUUAUGGAGGAGGAUAACUAUGGGAAACUGAAGCUAAUACCGCGUACCAUAGGCUGAGCCCAAGUGGGAUUGGGUAGUGGGUGGGGUAAAGGCCCACCAAGCCGACGAUCUCUAGUGGGUCUGAGAGGAUGACCAGUCACACUGGGACUGAGACACGGCCCAGACGCCUACGGGAGGCAGCAGUGGGGAAUAUUGCGCAAUGGGGGCAACCUGACGCAGCCAUGCCGCGUGAAUGAAGAAGGCCUUCGGAUUGUAAAGUUCUUUCGGUAGCGAGGCGUUAACUACAGAAGAAGCACCGGCUAACUCCGUGCCAGCAGCCGCGGUAAUUC
rnacentral:rRNA from 1 species